ACGAACGCUGGCGGCGUGCUUCACCCAUGCAAGUUGAACGGAAAGGCCCUGCUUUUGUGGGGUGCUCGAGUGGCGAACGGGUGAGUAACACGUGAGUAACCUGCCCUUGACUUUGGGAUAACUUCAGGAAACUGGGGCUAAUACCGGAUAGGAGCUCCUGCUGCAUGGUGGGGGUUGGAAAGUUUCGGCGGUUGGGGAUGGACUCGCGGCUUAUCAGCUUGUUGGUGGGGUAGUGGCUUACCAAGGCUUUGACGGGUAGCCGGCCUGAGAGGGUGACCGGCCACAUUGGGACUGAGAUACGGCCCAGACUCCUACGGGAGGCAGCAGUGGGGAAUAUUGCACAAUGGGCGGAAGCCUGAUGCAGCAACGCCGCGUGCGGGAUGACGGCCUUCGGGUUGUAAACCGCUUUCGCCUGUGACGAAGCGUGAGUGACGGUAAUGGGUAAAGAAGCACCGGCUAACUACGUG
rnacentral:rRNA from 1 species